GUUGCAUCUACCAUCUGCUGCUUCAACAGCUGCUUUGGCUACAGGAUAGGGCUGCUGGUUACCUCGACCUGAAGGCAGACGCUGGUUCAAGGUGCUCUUUCAUCACAUUUGUUAUGGUUGGCACUACAACCGCAGCUUUUUGGAGUACAGACAGUUUAACUUCUGUUUGCUGGCAGUAACACAAGCCCUGUUCUGCUAUGCAGCUGAAUCAGGUGCAGAGAUUUUUUUUCCAAAUGUAUUAAAUUGAAGGUGGAAAGUUUCAACUUUUCUGGUGCCCAGCUGGUCCAGUUACUGCACUGCCUCACUGGUGACUCCCUGCAUACUAAUGAUGAAAUAGAGGAAAGGGAAAGCUCUCCUCCUCUGUGACACACCACUCAAUCAGUCCCAUCUGGGAUGAGGCAUCCUCCUUAAAAUCAAAGUGCUGGAGCAGAUAAGAAAAAACAAGCAGUAAUAUCACGGACUACCUAUUUUGCAUUAUUCUAACGCAGAUAUCUUUGUAAAAAACUUAUUCACAGGUGCUUUGACGGUGG